GUGGGGAAUCUUGCGCAAUGGGCGAAAGCCUGACGCAGCCAUGCCGCGUGAAUGAUGAAGGUCUUAGGAUUGUAAAAUUCUUUCACCGGGGACGAUAAUGACGGUACCCGGAGAAGAAGCCCCGGCUAACUUCGUGCCAGCAGCCGCGGUAAUACGAAGGGGGCUAGCGUUGCUCGGAAUUACUGGGCGUAAAGGGCGCGUAGGCGGACAGUUUAGUCAGAGGUGAAAGCCCAGGGCUCAACCUUGGAAUUGCCUUUGAUACUGGCUGUCUUGAGUACGGGAGAGGUGAGUGGAACUCCGAGUGUAGAGGUGAAAUUCGUAGAUAUUAGGAAGAACACCAGUGGCGAAGGCGGCUUACUGGUCCGGAACUGACGCUGAGGUGCGAAAGCGUGGGGAGCAAACAGGAUUAGAAACCCUGGUAGUCC
rnacentral:rRNA from 1 species